UAUAGAAAGCGCCCUUGUAGCAGACCCAAAUCUCCUAUCCUUCGUUGAAGAUUCUUGUAAAAUAUACUCUCCGGAACUUCCCCUUGACCAUGAACAAUGUCCAAUUGAUGGCGGUGACCUUGGAAAAACGCUAGGCAGAUGUGAGAAGGUUUGUCCCGGCAGUUAUGUUAACAUAACAGCUGUAAAUGUGGAAAUGUUUGACGAGGACAUACACAAAAUCAGACUGACCCAGUGUUAUGUUGUACGUCCAUGGGAACAGAAAGUUUUCUACAUGAAAUGCACAAACGAUCAACCUUCUUUUAAAAGCAAAUCAUUCAAGUGUGUUCCAGACAACUUCAUCAAACGUAGGGUUGCCGUAUUCUGUCCAGAAUUUAAAGAACACCAAUGUCAAAAAGUGGACAUCGAAUUACCCACUAACUGUGCUGCAAGUCGAUUUGAAUGUGUCCAACCGAAGAAAUCAAAGAAUGAACUCGUAAACAGCUUUUUUGAUUCAUUGUUUUAGUAGGUUUUUUUUUCAAAAAACUAUCCACACGGUGUGCUGUAGGUCAAAUUUAAUGUUAUCAUCAAAAGCAACAGGAGAAGAAGGAAAAGAUAACAUGCUUCACAUUUUGAACCUCACUGAUUCGGAAAGUUUUUAAAUCCAUGCAGACUGUGAUAUCUUGUUGUUGUUUGUAAUAUUGUUCAUUUCAUCAUCAAUUAUGCCAUGUUUUUGUAAUAGUGACUAAUGUAUAAAUAAAACAAACUUUAGUAUA